CAAUAGCGUAUAUUAAAGUUGUUGCGGUAAAAAAGCUCGUAGUUGGAUUUCUACCGAAGAUAGACGGUCGGGUCUUCGACCUUGUAUCUGGUUUUGUCUUUGGUAUCCUCAUAGGGAACGUUUCUGCGCUUUAUUGCGUGGUGCGGUAUCUAUGACUUUUACUUUGAGGAAAUUAGAGUGUUCACGGCAGGCAAACGCCUUGAAUAUAUUAGCAUGGAAUAAUAACAUAGGAUCUUCGUCCUAUUUUGUUGGUUUCUAGGGCUAAGAUAAUGAUUAAUAGGGAUAAUUGGGGGCAUCUGUAUCAACGCGUCAGAGGUGGAAUUCUUGGAUUGCGUUGCGACAAACUACUGCGAAAGCAUUUGCCAAGGAUGUUUUCAUUGA
rnacentral:rRNA from 1 species